rnacentral:rRNA from 1 species
AGCAGCCGCGGUAAUUCCAGCUCCAAUAGCGUAUAUUAAAGUUGUUGCAGUUAAAAAGCUCGUAGUUGAAUUUUAGACCUGGCCGGGCGGUCCGUCUUUGGCGAGUACUGUUCUGUGUCGGGCCUUUCCUUCUGGUUAACCGGCGUGCUCUUCAUUGAGUGCGCCGUGCGAGCCAGGACCAUUACCUUGAAAAAAUUAGAGUGUUUAAAGCGGGCAUUUGCUUGAAUAGAUUAGCAUGGAAUAAUAGAAUAGGACGUUGGUUCUAUUUUGUUGGUCUAGGACCACCGUAAUGAUUAAUAGGGAUAGUUGGAGGCAUUAGUAUUCAAUUGUCAGAGGUGAAAUUCUUGGAUUUAUUGAAGACUAACUAUUGCGAAAGCAUUUGCCAAGGAUGUUUUCAUUAAUCAAGAACGAAAGUUAGGGGAUCGAAGACGAUCAGAUACCGUCGUAGUCUUGACCAUAAACUAUGCCGACUAGGAAUCGGGCGACGUUAUUCAUGACUCGCUCGGCGCCUUAUGGGAAA